rnacentral:rRNA from 1 species
UUGAACGCUGGCGGCAGGCCUAACACAUGCAAGUCGAGCGGAUGAAGGGAGCUUGCUCCUGGAUUCAGCGGCGGACGGGUGAGUAAUGCCUAGGAAUCUGCCUGGUAGUGGGGGAUAACGUCCGGAAACGGGCGCUAAUACCGCAUACGUCCUGAGGGAGAAAGUGGGGGAUCUUCGGACCUCACGCUAUCAGAUGAGCCUAGGUCGGAUUAGCUAGUUGGUGGGGUAAAGGCCUACCAAGGCGACGAUCCGUAACUGGUCUGAGAGGAUGAUCAGUCACACUGGAACUGAGACACGGUCCAGACUCCUACGGGAGGCAGCAGUGGGGAAUAUUGGACAAUGGGCGAAAGCCUGAUCCAGCCAUGCCGCGUGUGUGAAGAAGGUCUUCGGAUUGUAAAGCACUUUAAGUUGGGAGGAAGGGCGGUAAGUUAAUACCUUGCUGUUUUGACGUUACCAACAGAAUAAGCACCGGCUAACUUCGUG